rnacentral:rRNA from 1 species
GCAGCAGCCGCGGGAAUACGGAGGGUGCAAGCGUUAAUCGGAAUUACUGGGCGUAAAGCGCACGCAGGCGGUCUGACAAGUCAGAUGUGAAAUCCCCGGGCUUAACCUGGGAACUGCAUUUGAAACUGUCAGGCUGGAGUCUUGUAGAGGGGGGUGGAAUUCCAGGUGUAGCGGUGAAAUGCGUAGAGAUCUGGAGGAAUACCGGUGGCGAAGGCGGCCCCCUGGACAAAGACUGACGCUCAGGUGCGAAAGCGUGGGGAGCAAACAGGAUUAGAUACCCCAGUAGUCCCUGUCUCUUAUAA